CCUACGGGGGGCAGCAGUGGGGAAUAUUGGACAAUGGGCGAAAGCCUGAUCCAGCCAUGCCGCGUGUGUGAAGAAGGCCUUCGGGUUGUAAAGCACUUUCAGUGGGGAAGAAAGCCUUGGGGCUAAUACCCUCGAGGAAGGACAUCACCCACAGAAGAAGCACCGGCUAACUCCGGGCCAGCAGCCGCGGUAAUACGGAGGGUGCGAGCGUUAAUCGGAAUUACUGGGCGUAAAGCGCGCGUAGGCGGUCUGAUAAGCCGGUUGUGAAAGCCCCGGGCUCAACCUGGGAACGGCAUCCGGAACUGUCAGGCUAGAGUGCAGGAGAGGAAGGUAGAAUUCCCGGUGUAGCGGUGAAAUGCGUAGAGAUCGGGAGGAAUACCAGUGGCGAAGGCGGCCUUCUGGCCUGACACUGACGCUGAGGUGCGAAAGCGUGGGUAGCAAACAGGAUUAGAUACCCCAGUAGUC
rnacentral:rRNA from 1 species